rnacentral:snoRNA from 1 species
GUGUGCGUUGAGAAGGCAAAGGUUAAGACAUAUUUUUCUACUCAGAUAAAGAGUACCUAACCUUCCCUCAGACGAGCUGAGAGUAGAGAGGCCAGGCUUCCUUCCCCUGGGAGAGGUGGUUAAGAAAGGAGCCUCACCUAGACUGCCCUUGCCUCACAUUA